GGCAGGGGCGGGCCAUGGCCCUGCUGCUGUACCUGGGACUGACAGCGGCUCUGGCCCGCGGCUGCUUGCACUGCCACGGCAACUUCUCGGAGAAGUUCUCCUUCUACCGCCAUCACGUGAACCUCAAGUCUUGGUGGGUGGGCGACAUCCCCGUGUCGGGCUCGCUGCUCACCGACUGGAGUCAGGACACAAUGAAGGAGCUGCACCUGGCCAUCCCCGCGGAGAUCACCAGGGAGAAGCUGAACCAAGUGGCAAAUGCCGUGUACAAGAAGAUGGAUCAGCUGUACCAGGGGAAGAUGUAUUUCCCGGGGUAUUUCCCCAACGAGCUGCGAGCUAUCUUCCGGGAGCAGGUGCACCUCAUCCAGAAUGCCAUCAUCGAAAGCUACAUCAACUGUCAGCGUCACUGUGGCGUCUUCCAGUAUGAGACCAUCGCCUGCACCAACUGCACAGACUCGCACGUCAUCUGCUUUGGCUACAACUGCGAGUCACCUGUGCAGUGGGAGACCGCAGUGCAGGGCCUCCUCCAGUACAUGAAUAUGUGGCACAAACAGGACACCAACACGAGACAUGGCCUCUGCCACCACACCCGUGCCAUCACCUCACGAUAAACACGAGCCCCCCCUCCUCCUCCCGGCCUGGAUGCGAAGAACCACUCCAGCAUUCCUGGUAUCACCAAGCUUCAUGUGUCUGGGGCGCCCGCAUCUGGCCAACCUGACUCUGGAGAAGGCCUCCGAGUGCCUGAUGCAGCACUGAGGGCCCGGGGCCAGCCAGACCUGCCCCAGCCGCGGGCAGGACCAGGACCCUGCCAGACCGUCUCAGCCUGACCCUGUGGAGCAGGCCUGCUGCUGCCUUGGGUGCCCCACGUGCCAGGAGCCCUGGCCGGGGCAGGGGGAGGAUAAGAAGAGGCACGGGUUUGUAUAUAGUACAGAGCCGGCGCUGGGCACGAUCCCAGCUGUUUUGAUGGAAUGAUUAAACAUCCUUGACCUUUCUC